rnacentral:rRNA from 1 species
UACGAAGGGGGCUAGCGUUGCUCGGAUUGACUGGGCGUAAAGGGCGCGUAGGCGGUUCGUACAGUCAGACGUGAAAUUCCUGGGCUCAACCUGGGGGCUGCGUUUGAUACGUGCGGACUUGAGUGCGGAAGAGGGUCGUUGAAUUCCCAGUGUAGAGGUGAAAUUCGUAGAUAUUGGGAAGAACACCGGUGGCGAAGGCGGCGACCUGGUCCGAUACUGACGCUGAGGCGCGAAAGCGUGGGGAGCAAACAGG